rnacentral:rRNA from 1 species
GAUGAACGCUGGCGGCGUGCCUAAUACAUGCAAGUCGAGCGAACAGACGAGGAGCUUGCUCCUCUGACGUUAGCGGCGGACGGGUGAGUAACACGUGGAUAACCUACCUAUAAGACUGGGAUAACUUCGGGAAACCGGAGCUAAUACCGGAUAAUAUAUUGAACCGCAUGGUUCAAUAGUGAAAGACGGUUUUGCUGUCCCUUAUAGAUGGAUCCGCGCCGCAUUAGCUAGUUGGUAAGGUAACGGCUUACCAAGGCAACGAUGCGUAGCCGACCUGAGAGGGUGAUCGGCCACACUGGAACUGAGACACGGUCCAGACUCCUACGGGGGGCAGCAGUAGGGAAUCUUCCGCAAUGGGCGAAAGCCUGACGGAGCAACGCCGCGUGAGUGAUGAAGGUCUUCGGAUCGUAAAACUCUGUUAUUAGGGAAGAACAAAUGUGUAAGUAACUAUGCACGUCUUGACGGUACCUAAUCAGAAAGCCACGGCUAACUACGUG